CCCAGUUGCUGCAUAAUCUUCGAGACACGGACGUUCGCGCGCCGCCUCUAUCUCGUCGCUGAUUAUGAAACAUGUCGCUAUUACAAUGGCUAGAAAAGGUAUUGUCAAUUGACUUGAUCGUCGCUUAAAUCGAUCAUUUAGCCUCGGAUAUAUCAAAUUUCGUACGAUUCGCUACCUACUUCGCUACCUUCCUACGACUGCCAAUGUCCGAUACUCGACGAAUAUAUUCAAGAGAUCGAAACACGCAACGGUACCAUUAUACGAAGUAAACGCAGAAUCCGGACGUGGGCUCUCCUCUUUGAGUCAGUGCCACACUUAAAGCGAAAUAAAAGUAACAAAACGGGCACGUACACGUGAGAGGACAUCCGGAUACACGGAACACGCAACGAACAGCCGAGAUCUGCGUGUGGUUCCUGAUUGGCUAGCCCCAUAAAUACACGGAGGGUACAUUUCGUCGUCAAGUAUUACAGCCUGAUUAUUUCGG
rnacentral:misc_RNA from 1 species